UACGUAGGGUGCGAGCGUUGCCCGGAUUUAUUGGGCGUAAAGGGCGCGUAGGCGGCCACGCACGUCCGUUGUGAAAUCGCUCGGCUCAACUGGGCGGGGUCAGCGGAUACGGUGUGGCUAGAGCAAGCUAGGGGGCAAUGGAAUUCCCGGUGUAGUGGUGGAAUGCGUAGAUAUCGGGAGGAACACCAGUGGCGAAGGCGGUUGCCUGGAGCUUUGCUGACGCUGAUGCGCGAAAGCGUGGGGAGCGAACAGG
rnacentral:rRNA from 1 species